rnacentral:rRNA from 1 species
UAGGGAAUCUUCCGCAAUGGGCGAAAGCCUGACGGAGCAACGCCGCGUGAGUGAUGAAGUUCUUCGGAUCGUAAAACUCUGUUAUUAUGGAAGAACAAAUGUGUAAGUAACUAUGCACGUCUUGACGGUACCUAAUCAGAAAGCCACGGCUAACUACGUGCCAGCAGCCGCGGUAAUACGUAGGUGGCAAGCGUUAUCCGGAAUUAUUGGGCGUAAAGCGCGCGUAGGCGGUUUUUUAAGUCUGAUGUGAAAGCCCACGGCUCAACCGUGGAGGGUCAUUGGAAACUGGAAAACUUGAGUGCAGAAGAGGAAAGUGGAAUUCCAUGUGUAGCGGUGAAAUGCGCAGAGAUAUGGAGGAACACCAGUGGCGAAGGCGACUUUCUGGUCUGUAACUGACGCUGAUGUGCGAAAGCGUGGGGAUCAAACAGG